CAUCACAAUAUCUUCUCCUUUCUGUUGAAAUGAUUUUAUUAAUAAGUUAAUUCCUUUCUGAUUAAACAAAAAUUAAUUUAACAGUUUAUAGCCUAAAAUGUAGCCCAUGUUCCUUUUUCCAUAGCACCAUCCUUCCUGCUACAGAAGUUCAAAUGUAAAAAUUUCCUCUCAUAUACAAAUAGAGAGCUCUUGCUGUCUGGGUUAUACUAAUGAUGCUACCUCAACUAGAGAAUUACCCCCUUGCUCAGUACAGAAGCAAAAUCUAGACGAUAAUAAAUUUCUAGCAGAAAUAUUUGAGAGCCCUGAUGACUUAAUCUGGUUACUGUAAAGUGAAACUGGUUAAAGACAAAAGCUUCUUGAAGAAAAUUCAAGAGGAAAUUUUAAUGCUGGCAAUAAAAAUGGUCAGCUGUAUAGAAAGACAAGGCUGUAUGGAGAUAGUUAGGUUGCUUCCUAAUGACGACAGCCACCUGAUACCAACUUCUGGGUUGUUUUUUUGUUUGUUUGUUUAUUUUUGUUGUUUAUUUGUUUUCCAGUACACAGCCUCAGAUAAUCAGGAACAGCAAGUGUGUGCCGUGUUGGAUAAAGAUGCACAGCUCUUCCCCAUCACACUGUGAAUGUCAUGAAGGCAGGGCUUCGGGCUCAGCCCUCUCUGGACCUAUGAUGCCUAACAUGUUUCUUGGCCCAGAACUUGUUGAAUGGGAGAAGGAAGAAGCCCAGGAAGGAACAAUGAUACAGCAGAACCAAGAACUGUCUCAAGGCCAAAGAUAUUCACUACCCAAGGACUUAUAAAGUUAGAAAGAGACCGAAGAAGAGGCAGACUGGGGAGUCGUGGCUGGGAGCUGUGGAGGAGAGCGGUUCUGCCUUUGCGUCAAAUGCUCAAAUGCGGCACUCUGAAAGGCGCUGCUGUAAUUCAGCUACCCAGCUUGCACUUGAAGCCAAAUGAAAUGCAAACUUGCCUUUCAAUAGCAAACCUCACUGAGGAAACGCCAGUUAGCGAUGGUGAGAAGUUUCAGCUACUAUAUUUUCACAUAUUCAGUUUUACCACUAAAAGUCCGUGAGAAAAACAUUUGGAGGCUCUUUAAGGCUGGUUACAUUAUCAAUUAAUCCAUAGUGUGUUUUAAAUAAAUAUUUCUAUUAAAUG